AAAAAAGCAGCAAAAAAAUUAAACGCCAUAAUUUUAAAAUGUGGGAAAUAGCAUAAAAUUUUAGAAUAAGUUUAGAUUUGUUUGAAUUGGUCACCUUUGGCACGAAUUAUGGCCUUCAAACGGCCAAUCGUCACACGCUGCCCGAAUGUUGCUCUGCGGUAUUUUGGCACUUGCUUGAAGUGAUCGACACUUUGGUUUUUAGUACCAACCUUGCUUUCCAAAAUACUCCAGACACAAUAGUCCAAGGGAUUGGAACCUAAUUUUGUAACCAUUCUUGGUUGGCGCGUGCUGAGUGCAAUGGUGCUGAGUUCUGUUGGAAUGUCCAAGGUCUGCGGCCAAAAUGUUUGCUUGCGCAAGGCUUCAAUACGCCCUCCAGAAUAUUUUCGCGAUAAUACUCGGCAUUUAUUCUGAUACCACGGUGGAUUAAUAAGAGCGGUGAGCGAUCAUCGGCUGCUAUGGCGGCCCACACCAUCACCAUAGCCGACGCUUGAGUUCUGGUGGCCAACUGAAGGUGCACAUUUUCAGCUGACCUCAAGUAAACACGAUCAUUUUGUUUGUUUACAAACUUCUGGACAACGAAUGAUUUUUCAUCGUAGAAAACAAAAUUCGGCAGUUCACCACUUUCGGCCAAGCUAAGCAACUCUUUAGCUCUUUUGAGUCUUUUUUCCUUACGUUGCGGUGUAAGUUCUUGCACUUUUUGGAAUUUCGAUGGCUUUACCUCAAGCUCAUUUUUCAAUAUUUUUCGAAUGGAAUAUUGCGAUAUGUUCAGCUCGCGAACCAUUUUUCGGCAAUUGCGACGCGGAUUUCGACCAAGUCGCUUCUUUACUUUUCGAACCAUUUCUGCUAAUGUUGCUGUUUUCUUCCG